UACGUAGGGGGCAAGCGUUGUCCGGAAUCAUUGGGCGUAAAGCGCGUGUAGGCGGCUCGGUAAGUCUGCUGUGAAAGUCCAGGGCUCAACCCUGGGAUGCCGGUGGAUACUGUCGAGCUCGAGUCCGGAAGAGGCGAGUGGAAUUCCUGGUGUAGCGGUGAAAUGCGCAGAUAUGAGGAGGAACACCAAUGGCGAAGGCAGCUCGCUGGGACGUGACUGACGCUGAGACGCGAAAGCGUGGGGAGCAGACAGG
rnacentral:rRNA from 1 species